rnacentral:hammerhead_ribozyme from 1 species
AUCCAGCUGACGAGUCCCAAAUAGGACGAAAUGCGCAUCCUGUAU